rnacentral:rRNA from 1 species
CCUACGGGAGGCAGCAGUGGGGGAUAUUGCACAAUGGGGGAAACCCUGAUGCAGCGACGCCGCGUGGGUGAAGACGCGCCUCGGCGCGUAAAGCCCUGUCCACAGGGAAGAAAAUGCCGGUACCUGAAGAAGACGCCCCGGCUAACUACCAGCCAGCAGCCGCGGUAAUACGUAGGGGCAAGCGGUAUCCGGAUUUACUGGGUGUAAAGGGGCCGCGGACGGCGAUGCCAGCCAGGAGUGAAAGCCCGGGGCCCAACCCCGGGACUGCUCUUGGAAUUGCGUGGCUAGGGUGCAGGAGGGGCAGGCGGAAUGCCUGGUGUAGCGGUGAAAGGCGUAGAUAUCAGGAGGAACACCGGUGGCGAAGGCGGCCUGCUGGACUGCAACUGACGUUGAGGCCCGAAAGCGUGGGGAGCAAACAGGAUUAGAUACCCCUGUAGUC